AGCGAGUGUACGUGCCGGGAACGCUGGUGUGUCAGUGUGCCGGAGUGCGCCCGAGUGUCAGUGAUUAUGUUACGGGUGUUGUGCAGCGAGUGUGUUGCGGGGCGUGUGUGCGUGUGUGCGUGCGCCUCCAUAGCAGCUCUUUCCCGAGACCCAGCAGAGGCGGCGCCCCUUCAGCUGUCGCCAGAAAACCGGGGGAGAAACUGAUUUUUCUUUCUGGGUGAAGGAGUUUCUGCAAAUCCACCCACUCCCUGAGAUGGCUUUCUUCAUAUCAAGGCCACUGGAACUGGCCUGAAUCAUCUCAUUAUUGACGAGAGCCAUGUCCAUCAGAAUUCAUCAUCAUAUAGUAUUGUUGUUGAAGUAUAUAAUGAUCUCCUGGUCCUGCUCGUUUCACUCAGCAUCAGUUCAUGUGCAAGAAAUGGAAUUUCUGAGCCACAGGAAUCUGGUAGUUGGAAUCUAAACCAAUAAUCCAAGGAACAAGGAAUGAUCUUUUGGAGGGACCAUUUGGAUGGAUUCCAACCUAGCAAAAGGACUCAUCCAGCAGUCAUGCUACAUCUAGAUUUAAACAUGGUGAAGCUAUAUAUGUAUUGAGCUAAAUUUUGGGUCUAAUCCCUCCUUUGCCCUAUAGACUAGGAAGAUAAAGGGGGAUUAUGCUCAUUGAGAGGAAUGCUUGUAUAUUUAUUCUCACUAUAUCUGUGAAGAAAGUACCUCUUUGUAAAGGCUUGUUAAUGUUAUUCAGUUGUGUCCAAUUUUUCAUGACCCCAUUUGUGGUUUUCUUGGCAGGAACACUGGAGUGGUUUGCAAUUUUCUUCUCUAGCUCAAUUUACAAAUGAGAAAACUGGGGCAAAUGGAUUAAGUGACUUGUGCAGUGAUGCAAGUGAGUGAAGUAGCUAGUAAGUACUGAGGGCCAGAUUUGAACUCCGGAAGAUGAGUCUUCUUGACUCCAAUUCUGGAGUCCAAUUCUCCAAUUCUCUUACACCAUCUAGCAAUCCAGAAUUAGAUGGCUCUGGGGUGUUAGUUAUGGGAUUUCUAACAAAUCUAAAGAGGGAAUAUAGCCAGUAGGUGCUAGAAUUGGCAAGUAUAAAGAAAAAAAAGCCAACAGAAACUUGUUAAGCUAUGCUGGAUCCCAGAUGGGUAUAACUCUGAGAGAAAGAGCUAUCAGACACAUUACAUCAAAUAAAUCAAUCAUCUUAUCCAAAAAUAGAGAUAUUUUAGGGGGAAACAGAGUGAAAGACAUAGAGAAACAGACAGAGACAGACACAGAGAGAGAGACAGUCAGAGAGAGAAGAGACAGAGAAGAGGAAAUGAAGAAAGGAAAGAAGGAAAGAAGACAGAUAAAGGAAAGAAAACAAUUUCUAAUAAAUAAGCAUGGUAAAGCAAAAUGAAUCCGCACAUUCAUCUGUAUCCAAAAAUGUAUAGCUUUUUAUGCUCUUUGAAUCCAUCCCUUCUCUACUAUGAGGUAGGUAACAUGUUUUAUCUCAGGUCCUCUGAAGAUGUGGUUGAUCAUUGCAUUAACCAGAGUUAGCACAUCUCUCAAACUUGUUUUUCUUUAGUGUUGUUGGCUUUGUAUAAAUAGUUCUGCUGGUUCUCCUCAUUUUUUGUUUUUGUUUUUUUUUUUGCUUCAGUUCAUACUACCCAGAAUUCUUUGGAAUUAUUUCAAUCAUUAUUUCUUAUCAUGAAAUAUUAUUCUGUUACGUUCAUAUACCACAAUUUGUUCAUCCAUCAGUUCUGUUCAAUUUAACAAGUCUUUCAAUGAGUCAAAGCUGCUCUCUGAUUUGGAAAAAAAAGUCCAUUGUCUCCAACUUAAUAUUCUUUUGGUUUUGCUGUGUGCCUUUGAGUCAUGGAAGAAUAUGAUUUAAAAAUAAUAAAAAGUUGAAAAUGACUUAAAAGUCAAGAGAGAUCCAUUGUAGGUGGAAGUAGAUCAGCACAUUAUAGUUAUUAUUUCUUCACAUUUCAUAUAAGACAUUGUCUUAUAUGUCCAGAAAAAGAAGGGAUUGAUGAAAUAGUUGGAAUAAGAGAUAAUAGGUUGAUUUUCAGUGUUGCCCUGGUUAAGUAAUUUUCCUUCUGUGGGCCUCAGUUUUCUCAUCUGUAAAAUGAGAGGAUAGGACUAGUUGACUUUUAAAAUGCCUUCUAGCUCUGGAUCUCUAAUCCUUGAGUAGAUCCGCUGUAGGCAAAAUUUCCCAUAAUGAGAAAAUGUGCUUUGGUUGCUGUAAUAUAUACUAGUGAGGUGAUCCCCAUGUUAAUAGCAUCUGAAGUAAAAGGAUAAAAGAUAGGAAUUUCACCUAUGAUUUAAUAGAUAUAGGGCAUUCUUGGGGGAUGGAAAUUUCCUUCAUCAGUUUUCUUUCCCUAUAAUUUAGACAGCAUUUCCCAAGGUCACACAGUCAAUAUGUGUAGGGUGAGAUCCAAACCUAGGUAGUCUUGAUUUCCAAGCUAAAUCCCUAUCUAUUGAGUAGUAUCAAUUUCUAAGGGGCAGCGUCCCUGAUUUCUUAGUAUAAGAACACCUUGUUCAUCUAGUGUCAGUAGGGCAUGAGUUGAUUUUCCAUUUUUAUUAUCAAAAAACAUUAAAUAUGUUAGUCACAUUGGACUGAAAUCCUGCUGCCCAUGGUCCUGAACGAGACAACAGCUUUUCUGGUUGUGCAGGAGGGUCCAUCCCUGUAAGCAACAGAUAAAAUCAGGAAAGCUGCAAAUUCUAGUCUAAUGUUGUUAAAGGUUGGACAAUUUAAAAAUCCAUCCCUUGGAGUAUUUCUGGGUAUAUUUCUUGGUAGCAGAACAGCCUUAAAGGUCUAAUAUUCUUGGGAGUCUUCCCCUGAGUGUUACCCUUGGGACAUGUAGUAAACUGACCUAUGUUGGGGCUGAUCUGGGGUCUUGGGGGCAGACAACAUGGAAAGCUUUGCCAAUGAUGAAUCUCUGCCAUAAUAUUAGAGACAGCUGCGAUUUUUCAACACCUUCUGAACCCUUUCUCAAGCUCUUGAUUAUGUUUCGAGAUCACUUGAUAAUCAGAGGUAUUAGGACCUGAAGAAUGCAUUUGUGAGGGGAUUGGGUCUAAAAGUCAGGAAGAAAUGAGUUCAAACCCACACUGGUUGUGUGAUCUUGGCCAAAUCACCUGUUAUCUAUUUGGUUCAAUUUCUUCCAUUGUGAAAUGGAGAUAUCAAUAACAAUUAUCUUACAAGGUUGUUGUGAGACUCAAAUAAGAUAACAAUCAUAAAGAACUUAGUACAAGUGCCUGGCAUAUAGUAGGUGUUAUAUAAAUGGUAGCUAUUAUUAUUAUUAUUACUAUCAUAGUUGUUAUUGCUAUGAGGAUGAGGAUGAUGAUGAUGAUUACCAGAACCUAAAUAGUAAGAAGAAGUAGCUAGAUUUGUCCUUGGAAUCAGGAAGACUGAUCUUCCUGAGUUUGACACAUUAGCUCUGUGACUCUGGACAAAUCACUUCAUUCUGUUUGCCUCAGUUUCCUCAUCUGUAAGAUGAUCUGGAAAAAUAAAUGGCGAACCAUUGCAGUGUCUUUGCCAAGGAUCCUUCUAAAAGGGGUUGCAAAGUUGGAUGUUAUUGUAAAGUACCGAACAACAACUAUCAUUUACAUUCUAUGUGAAUGUUAAAGUUAUUUGACCCUUCUUACUAUCAGUUUUCUUACUUAAUAAAUGAUGGCUGUGGAUUAGAUUGCCUCUUCCAGUCUAAGAGGCAGAUGGGGAAACUGAGGCCCACAGAGAUGAAGUUACUUUCCUAAUGGUAGAACUAGGGUUUCUUCUGAGACUCUCAGAUUCUAAGCACAGUGAGUGCUCUUUUUAAUGCACUUUAUUGUCAUGUAAUGAAGAUGGGGCAUGGGAUCCACUUCUAUCUCAAGGACCCAGUAUAGCGUCAAAGAUUUUCUGAUGAUACAUUUUUUCAGAUGACCAAAUCCAGGUACUUUUAGAAUCUAAAAUUCUUAUCAGGACCUGCCCCAUGGUCCUAGGAUCAUUGAGUGUUUUCAUUUUGAUUAAAACAAACAUUUUCUAAGGAUCUACUAUUUGCAAAGUACUGUUGGAAAAAGAAAAAAAAAACCAAACCAAAGUCACCAUGUGGACAAAUUUGAACAAUCCUCUCAGGGCUGCCACAAACAUCUUUGCACUUGUGGGUCCCUUUCCCACUUUUAAGAUCUCUUUGGGAUAUAAACCCAGUAGUAGCACUGCUGGACAAAAAGGCACGCACAGAUUGUUAGCCUUUUGGACAUAAGAAAUGUGUCUUAAAGAACAAUUCUUGGGUAGUUAUGUGAACUAUUGACAUGAUAUAUUGACACGAGGCUUAAGGAUGUCAUAAGGGGAUUUAUUAGUAUUUCUCCUGACUUUUGUCACUAGAUAAAUUGGGACUAUUUACUAGAGUGAUAAUAACCAGCAUAGAGAUUUAGGUUUGGGCAUUUGGUUUAAAUAACCAAGGAAAUUACCCCCCUCCCCAAAUUAUAUAUGAGCUUUAGUGGCAUAAAACUGCACUGACUUUAGCUAUACCCUGAAUAGGUUGGGGAUUGGAUAUCCAAUUUCACUGGCUAUAAGUAGUUCCCAGAUGAGGAAAUUCCCUCAUUUGAUGCAGAUUGGAUCUUUCUCUGACACUUUUGUCUUGAAGACUUGCCUAAAGCAAAGGUGUCAAACUUAAAUUGCAAAAGUUUAGAAAAGUGUAACAAAAUAAAUUAAAAAUACAAUAUAACUUGGAUAGUAUUUAUUUGUGGCUUUCUAAGUCAAUAUGUAUUCUGAAGGAUCAGUUUCUAUUUGAAUUUGACAUGACAUGGUCUACAGCAUUAAGAAGGGAAGUCAUUUGUCCAGAAUCAGAAGGCUAAUAUUUGUUAGAACUUGAAUUCAUGUCAUCUUAUUUUUCAAGGCUGAGUUUCUAAGCACCAGGCUGCAUUGUGUGUGUGUGUGUGUGUGUGGGUGUGUGUGUAUCCCCUCUGAGUUGUUCUUCCAACCUGUACUGUGCUUACCAGGGGCCUAAACUAUCAUGAUUCCUGAGUUAAUCCUAUGAAAUCUACUCCUAAGGCUAUAAUUUCUGAGCCCCCAUCAGUGUGCUUCUCAUUAAUAAUCAAUCACUAGGCUUAGUAAAAGCAUUUACUAAGAUGGUAUAUCAGAUUGCUCUCUGUCUUGGGGGGUGGGGAAGUAAGAGGGGGGGGGAACUGUAGAAUAUGGAGUUUUACAAAAAUAUAUGUUGAAAACUAUCUUUUAUGUAAUUGGAAAAAUAAAAUACCAUUUACAAAAACAAGGAAUUUCCAAAUUGUUCUUCCUCUCUCCUUUCCCCUCCCUCACCAAGGCAGGAAGUAAUCUAAUAUAGAUUAAAUAUGUGUAAUUCUUUUUUUCAAAUAUAUUUUUUUAUUUAUAAAAUAUAUGCAUGGGUAAUCUUUUAACAUUGACCCUUGCAAAACCUUGUGUUCCAAAUUUUCCCUUUCUUCCCCCUACUCCCUCCCUAGAUGGCAGGUAAUCCAAUACAUGUUAAAUAUGUUAAAUCCAAUAUAUGUGUAUAUAUAGUUAUCUUGUUGUUAUUUCCAUAUUUCCAUAUUUGUCAUGUUGUGCAAGAAAAACCAGACCAGAAGGAAAAAAACAUGAGAAAGAAAAACAAACAGACAAACAAAAAGGUGAAAAUACUAUGCUUUGAUCUACACUCAGUCUCCAUAGUUUUCUCUCUGGAUGUGAUUGAAGUUUUCCAUCUCAAGUCUAUUGGAAUUGCCUUGAAUCAUCGUAUUGCCGAGAAGAGCCACGUCCAUCACAAGUGAUUUCCAUUGCAUUAUCUUGCAAUCUAUAUUUCAUCUUCUAUUUAUCCAGUCUCUCUGUUGACAUGAUCAGUAGCUACAGUAGGAAUGUGACAACCUCUCUGGACUCAACCUUGCCCUGUAGUUCAGGCUUAAGGGUCUUCCUCCAAAUACUGCUUCCAAGCCUGACAUCUACUGCUGUAUUGGACAACUACUGUAGUGAAAGAUACAGUUAGCUUCUUAUGUUUGCCAUUCAGCUGUAAUCUUCUUUAGCAUUUAAAAGAUUCAUGCCUUAUAACAUGAUCACUGGACACAGUCCACUUUCUUUAUAUAGCUAAAAUUUCUUUCCAUGUAAUUCAACAUUAUUUGAAUAGAAUAUCCCAUUUCCCAAUUCUGAGAAUUUUUAUUGACUAACCCCCAUGUCUGGAACUCUCUCCCUCUCCAUCUUUGCCUCCUUUCUUCCCUGGCCCCUUCAAGUCUCAGCUAAAGUUUCGCCUUCUGCAAGAAGCCUUCCCAGUCCUCUUUAAUCUUAGUGCCUUUCCUCUGAGAUUACUUCUGAUUUAUCCUGGGUAUAUCUUGGUUGUACAGAGUUGUUUUAAUGUAUUAUUUGUCUCUUAAAAUUGUUGGUGAGGAAGUACUUUAUAAAUCUUUGAAUGCCAUAUAAAUGUGAAAUAUUAUUGUUCUUAUUAAGUAAAUCCAUUUGAUCAAUGAAGAGAUUAAAAGAAACCCCAUGGAAAAAAACAUUAAAAUAUGUGAGCUAAAUAAAAGAAGUAUGCCUUAUUGUGGUUUCUCACUUACUUUUUAAAAUUGGGAAAUGGGAUUCAUUUAUGUCAUUCUAUUAUUUAUGUGUUUUUUCAGGAAAAAUCUAUUGUGUUCAACAAACAUCAAGAGUUGUAGGUUUAGGGGAAGUAUAUGGACAUAGUGUCAAAAUUAGAAUUAGGAUGACUUCUUACUGUAUUUUCUUACUUGAUUUUGUAUGAAUUUUACAUAUUUGUCUUAAUAGAGGUACUUCUCUAAAUAGGUUGCACCCCUCUCUCCAUUAUGUUUAUUUUUUAAAAAUUAUAUUUUAUUGAUGUCUCUGAGAGGUAACAGGGCAUAGUGGAUAGAGCACUAGCUUAGAGUCAGGAAGAGCUGGGUUCAGGUUCUACCUCUGGGAUACAUAAUGACUAAAUGACCUUGGGUAAAUUGUUGAACUCAGUGUCCCAAGAUAUGCUUUUGGUGCCGUUCUGUACUGGUAGGAAAAUUUUUCUUACAGUUCUCUAUCUCAGUGAUAUCAUAGAUCCAAUGCUCCUCCUCCCUUCAAAAAAUGUCUUUUGUUUUUGUAUAAAUCAUUUAUUCAGAAAAAACACCUCUUCUCUCCAGAUUGACUCCUUCCCCAACAACAAAG
ensembl:lncRNA